UCGAGCCUUUCUAUCCAUUUUUCGAGCCUUUUUAGGCGCCUAAAUCACGAUUUUAAAAGCCUUAAUUUAUCCUCUCUGGUAAUAAUUCGAUAAAAACUGGAAUUUCAUCAAUUUAGGUGCCAUUUGGAAGUGAUCAAAACAUUGAAACUACUUGUCGUAUCUGAACAAAAUAUGACUCAAAAUGAAGAUAAAACUUCAAAUUUUAAAAAUAUUCUUGAUUUAAUUAGAUAAAAUAAGAUUUUAGCAAUAAUAUGGGCACUUUAAUUUGGGGUCCAUAUGACCCCAUCUUACAGCAUUUGUAAGUCUUCUCUUCAAGUCAGAAUAUCUCGGGUUUUUAUGGACCGAUUUUGACAAAUAAGUGCUCAAAAUGCGUGUUUCAACUAGAUUGAAGAUGUCAAUAAAUUAUAACAUCAUACAACUUGAAAUUGAAAAGUUAUAGCGAAUUUAGAGUAUUUGGGGUCACAUAAACCCCACAUUACAGACAAACGGUUAAAAACAAAUUCAACUUCAAAACUAAUUUUAGGAUCAUAAUGUUGCGUUUGCGGACACGUUUAACGAAUCUUAUGACCGAUUGUCUCGAUUGUUACAACUGAUUGACUAUUCGAAAGACUACAUAUUCCAUAAUAUUCGAGCAGAACUGCUGCCAGUGGUCACAAAUGCCCUAGAAAAAGCGAACGUACCCGUCGAUCAUUGUAUUGAAUUUUUGCUCUAUCACUUGACACAAGAAGAGGCAUUGAAAUUGGAUGUGCAGCCACCCAAAGGAAUCGAGCUGCGGUCGUUGACGGAGUCCGAUGUCGAAAAAGUGAUCUCGGUAUGGGCGUAUUGUGAUCAAAAGACAAUCCCAUUAAUACAAGCAAUGGCCAAGUAUAAUCCAAGUGUCGGAGCACUUACGGAGGAUGGAACUCUUGUUGCAUGGGCACUUCGUUAUCCAACCGGUCUCAUUGCAGCCUUACAAACAGACGAACUUUUCUUUGGCAAAGGGUUUGGAGGAUUAGCGCUUAGAUGUAUAUCGAAGAAAAUUGCCGAACUGGGCCAUCAUGUUUUUGGUGCUGUAUCGGAAAACAACGCAGCCUCUAUAUCACUAUUACACAAACAUGGAUUCAAAAUGAUUAAUGUUUUGCAUCUGAUUUAUACUAAAGUCACGUGAAAUUUAACUUUUUAACUGACGAAUGAAUAAAAUCAAACGAAUAACUUAGAAAAAUGAACUUUUGCUAGAAUGCAAUCCAUUUUCGAUUGAGAAUAAAUCAAUUACUAAAGAAUUAAAUGGAUCUGA